rnacentral:tRNA from 1 species
UCCUCUGUGGCGCAAUUGGCUAGCGCGUCGUAAGUCCAAUCCACUUGGUUUAUGUAAAUAUUCACCAACUAAUCCUAUCAUCGUAGUGACUGUUAAUCAGGAGGUUGGAAGUUCGAGCCUUCCCGGAGGAG